rfam:Mycobacterium avium subsp. paratuberculosis str. k10, complete genome.
UUUGAUCGAGCCCAGCCACAGCGGCCGGUCCGCCGGGCGGUCCUGGCCGUAGGUCGCCAAAAGCGCUUGGGCCUC